rnacentral:lncRNA from 1 species
UCGAAUGUCGUACUUAAUGUCCCAAAGUUUUUUCUUUUUUUUUUUGUGUCCCAAAGCUUCUUAUUUCAAACUUGCAUAAUUUCCUUUAAAAAUAAGUCAUUUUAAGACUAUAUAUUUUAUAUUAUUGAUUCGAUCAUUACCAGAAUUCACUUCAUCAAAGGAUCUCUUGAAAUUUUUUAUUUUUUUUCUCUCUUGAAAUCUUUCUGUUGCACACAUUUUUAUUUUUAUAUAUUAUCAUUAUAAAGGCCCAUAAAUUUUGAUGAUGUGCUUCCAAAAAUAAGUAAUAUAUGAGAUAUUUUGAGAUUUGACCACAAUAUUGUCGAAUUUGAAAUUGCGACCAGAACUAUAGAUCGAAACGGUCUUACGUCUAUCAUACAACUACUGUCGCAAAAUUAUCCG